UACGUAGGAGGCAAGCGUUGUCCGGAAUUACUGGGCGUAAAGGGCGCGUAGGCGGCCUGGCAAGUGGAAGGUGAAAUCCCUCGGCUUAACCGAGGAACUGCCCUCCAAACUGCUUGGCUUGAGUCCGGGAGAGGUGAGUGGAAUUCCCAGUGUAGCGGUGAAAUGCGUAGAUAUUGGGAGGAACACCAGUGGCGAAGGCGGCUCACUGGACCGGAACUGACGCUGAGGCGCGAAAGCGUGGGGAGCGAACAGG
rnacentral:rRNA from 1 species